AUUCAACUUCUCCUUUGGAAUUUCAUCUGUGUUUAGUUAUAACUAGUAUUUUGCUUGAGUUCAUUUGGUUAAUUGUCAAACUCUAUGACAUGCUUGUUAAUGGCUGAUUUUGCUGAGAAUUGACUGCUAAAAUUAUUUGUAAUUUCUUUUUAUUUAUGGAUAUCACUGUUGGAGCUGUUUGGAAUUGUUUGAUUGAAUUGUUGACUAUAUUUAUGAUUCGCUGCUUUACUGCACGUUUUUUAUGAAUAUGUUGCUGGAGAUAUUGGGUUAAUUGUGUGAUUGUCAUGAGAAAUUGGAAAUACUCUAAGUUGCUGACUGUUUUGUUGGAAAAUUGCUGCUGUUAGUUGAGUUUAGGUUAGAAUGAGGAAUUUCUGGUUAGAAUUGGAUAUGUUGGAUUGUCUGCUUGUGAUUUACUGCACUUUAGACUAAUUUUUGCUGAGAAAAUGCUGUUGACAUUGCGGGAUUAUGCUUGGUUACUGCUGGUUUUGGUGACUUUCGAUGUUGAAAUUGUUUCGGUGAUGUUGAUCGCAAUAAUUCACUGCAUUAAGAUUAUUUGUGCUGUAAACUUGCUGCUGUUAGUUGGAUUAGAGUAGAAUUAGAAUUUUCUGAUGUUAGUUCAUACAUAGAUAAACAUGUUAUGCUUCUUGAGUUGAAUUUUAAUUUGUUUGGUCUGGCUUGACUGAAUUACUGUUGAAUUACUGAGGUAUGUUGCUGAUUUGUGCACAAUUGAUGCUGAUUUUGUGAAUGGAGGUUGAAUGAAUACUUGUUUGUGAUAUUUGAUUUGUUUAAUGCCUUUGCACUCUAAGUGUUCGAGAAAAAAAAUGUCUCAAAAAGUUUUUAAUGAAAUUUUUGGUUUAAUGCUUGAAAUCAAUGUUUGUUUGGAUGACUUGUUCAAAUCACAAGAUCCUCUAAGGUAUGGGUUAUGCAAUGAUGAGCCUUUAUGUUUGGGAGAAAAACAAUAAGGCUAUAUAAAUAAAGUGGAGUGGAUCUUGCUCUUCAUAAUUAUAGUGAUAGUAGUACCGUCCUACAAGCCAGGCUAAUAAGUAAUAAUUGAGUUGCUACAAAAGUUACUGUUUUUCUUUCUUCUAUUACUAGCUCAGACUAAUCCUUGAUGCACUGCAGAAUGUGUUGAGGAGAUGUAGUAGCCUGUUGCUGUCAGGUAAUGUAUGGCAUAUUUGACACAACUUAGUAAAAUAUAGUAUUUAGAUUUACUUUAUCUGAUAUAAUAACUGCUAUAAACUUGUUGGUUGUGAUUAUAUAUGAGACAGUAACUAAUUCUGUUAAAUGAUGGAGUCGUGUAGAGCUUUAAAUGAGAAAAUUCUAAGUCUACAUGCUUUGGCGUUUGGUAACUGCUUUUUUCUCAAAAUAAUGCAACCAAUUUUUGCUUUGGAUACAACUUUUAAUGUAUACAUAUUCAUAGUUAAACCCUUCUUGGAUUGUAUACUUAAUUAUCAUACAAAAACCAUGACUUAAUCAAAACUGAAAUUGACAAGAGAUCAUUCAUUAAGGGGAGCAGAUUCAACUCAGCCAAACAUUUAUUGAGUUUAAGGCAUGUAUACUAUUUCUGACAAAUGUACCCGGGUAGUUGUUUCAUUUUAAGUAUAUUCUAAAUGAAUAAGCCUUUUGAAAAUAAUCUGAAGUAAUUACAUGCUGCAUUAUGUUUGUUUGCAAGUUAUUCUUUCUAUUAGGCCAAAUGCACAUAAAACGCAAAAUAAAGAAUGCAUUGCAGAGGGUACAAGUGUUUUUCUAUAGUGAUAUUUAGUUAACCUAUAAUUGAUUUAUAAGGUCAACUACAUUAACGUGUGUAGAGGCUGAUGUGUUUUCUAUUAUCCAUCGAUGUCUUAUUUGCAGGAUGGUGAGAACCCUGCAGAGGAAGCCAAGGAAAGCAACCAUGGGAGAUUGCUGGCUUGCAUUGCUUCUCGACCUGAUCAAUGUGGCAGGGAUGACGGCUAUAUUUUGGAAGGUGAGCUUGAAUUUUAUAUGAAGAAAAUUCAGAAGGGAAAGGGUGCUGUCUUUAUUCUCAUACUUGUAUAUUGGAUGGGAUGGAAUAGGUCUUAUAAUGACUUUAGUUAUCUACACGUAAUAUUUUGAUUGUACUUUUUGAAAAGAGAUUUUAUCUGGUAUUACAUGUAAUGGACAAAUUACACUCUAUUUUUAUUUGUAUUGUUUGGACUAAAAAUGUAUCUAGCUUAUAAUGAAACUUUUAUGAUUUAAAUUUCUUGAA